rnacentral:rRNA from 1 species
AGCAGUAGCCGCGGGAAUACGGAGGAUCCAAGCGUUAUCCGGAAUCAUUGGGUUUAAAGGGUCCGUAGGCGGUCUUGUAAGUCAGUGGUGAAAGCCCAUCGCUCAACGGUGGAACGGCCAUUGAUACUGCAGGACUUGAAUUAUUGGGAAGUAACUAGAAUAUGUAGUGUAGCGGUGAAAUGCUUAGAGAUUACAUGGAAUACCAAUUGCGAAGGCAGGUUACUACCAAUUGAUUGACGCUGAUGGACGAAAGCGUGGGUAGCGAACAGGAUUAGAUACCCCCGUAGUCCCUGUCUCUUAUAA